GAGGAGCUUGCUCCUCUGGAUUAGUGGCGAACGGGUGAGUAACACGUGAGCAAUGUGCCCUUGACUCUGGAAUAAGCGCUGGAAACGGCGUCUAAUACCGGAUACGACCCUCGGAGGCAUCUCCAGGGGGUGGAAAGAACUUCGGUCAAGGAUCAGCUCACGGCCUAUCAGUUAGUUGGUGAGGUAACGGCUCACCAAGACGACGACGGGUAGCCGGCCUGAGAGGGUGACCGGCCACACUGGGACUGAGACACGGCCCAGACUCCUACGGGAGGCAGCAGUGGGGAAUAUUGCACAAUGGGCGCAAGCCUGAUGCAGCAACGCCGCGUGAGGGACGACGGCCUUCGGGUUGUAAACCUCUUUUAGCAGGGAAGAAGCGAAAGUGACGGUACCUGCAGAAAAAGCACCGGCUAACUACGUGCCAGCAGCCGCGGUAAUACGUAGGGUGCAAGCGUCGUCCGGAAUUAUUGGGCGUAAAGAGCUCGUAGGCGGUUUGUCACGUCUGCUGUGAAA
rnacentral:rRNA from 1 species